AUUGAACGCUGGCGGCAUGCCUUACACAUGCAAGUCGAACGGCGGCACGGGUGCUUGCACCUGGUGGCGAGUGGCGAACGGGUGAGUAAUACAUCGGAACGUACCUUAUCGUGGGGGAUAACGCAGCGAAAGCUGUGCUAAUACCGCAUACGCCCUGAGGGGGAAAGCGGGGGAUCGCAAGACCUCGCGCGAUUAGAGCGGCCGAUGCCUGAUCAGCUUGUUGGUGGGGUAAAAGCCCACCAAGGCGACGAUCAGUAGCUGGUCUGAGAGGACGAUCAGCCCCACUGGGACUGAGACACGGCCCAGACUCCUACGGGAGGCAGCAGUGGGGAAUUUUGGACAAUGGGGGCAACCCUGAUCCAGCAAUGCCGCGUGAGUGAAGAAGGCCUUCGGGUUGUAAAGCUCUUUUGUCAGGGAAGAAACACCGGCUCUAACACAGUCCGGGAAUGACGGUACCUGAAGAAUAAGCACCGGCUAACUACGUGCCAGCCGCCGCCGUAA
rnacentral:rRNA from 1 species